rnacentral:lncRNA from 1 species
GGGAGUGGGACACGUGUCGGGCGCGGGCUAGUCUGGGGGGAUUCGCGAUCAUUAUGGUGCCGGAUCCCAGGAUCUAUUUAAACCCGUCCUUCCACCUUUAGGGGCCCUAUUCUAUUCCAGAGUUUUUAUCAGUGUCUGCCUUCCCUUCGAGAGCCCUGUUUCAGUUGGCAUCUUCUCGAGCCGUAGGCGCCCUCCAAAUCGUCCCUGUCUUCGUCCCUCUGGUCCC